CUCAAGUGAUGACACAUCAACUAAUCGAACCCUCAAGUGAUGACACAUCAGGUGAUGGUGUAUCAAGUGAUGGAUCUCUUAAGUGAUGGCACAUCAAGAGGGAUUCUCUGCAUCACAAAUGACCGAAUCCAUGUCACCAUCUGGAGGACCAUUCAGGGUUCUUGUACUAAGUGUUCAUAAAGUAUACAUGGAUCAAGUUAAUCUAUACAGCAAACUAUGUUACAACGAAAAACGAAUAAUGAACUGAUGGAUAUAAGAAACUGUUAUUUGGUCCCAACAACAUCCUGUACAUUUUGACUGAAAUAUGUAUAAGGUUAUAAUGACCUAAAGCUAUUGGUCUCUUUGAGCUCAUUAUAAUUGAAAUUUAGUGUUAUUCCAAAUGAUAUAUUACCUUCAGAAUAUAUGAAAUGAUGGAUUGAUACUUAAUUUGUUUCCAGGUGU